rnacentral:rRNA from 1 species
UGCCUUCAGGAUGGGGACAACAGACGGAAACGACUGCUAAUACCGAAUAAGUUCCAAGAGCCGCAUGGCCCAUGGAAGAAAAGGUGGCCUCUACCUGUAAGCUAUCGCCUGAAGAGGGGUUUGCGUCUGAUUAGCUGGUUGGAGGGGUAACGGCCCACCAAGGCGACGAUCAGUAGCCGGUCUGAGAGGAUGAACGGCCACACUGGAACUGAGACACGGUCCAGACUCCUACGGGAGGCAGCAUG